UACGUAGGGUGCAAGCGUUGUCCGGAAUUAUUGGGCGUAAAGAGCUCGUAGGCGGUUUGUCGCGUCUGCUGUGAAAACCCGAGGCUCAACCUCGGGCCUGCAGUGGGUACGGGCAGACUAGAGUGCGGUAGGGGAGAUUGGAAUUCCUGGUGUAGCGGUGGAAUGCGCAGAUAUCAGGAGGAACACCAAUGGCGAAGGCAGAUCUCUGGGCCGUAACUGACGCUGAGGAGCGAAGGCGUGGGGAGCAAACAGG
rnacentral:rRNA from 1 species